CAGGCCCAAAGACAGUCAGACAGACCUGGACUUUUCCUCAUCGCGGGCUGGAGCAGCUGAAAAGUAGAAUAAGUAGAGAUCAAUGUCUCUAGCAAGAAACAUCAGGUUAUAACCACCAGGGCUGACUGAGGCAGUUUAGAUGAAUGCUUUGAAGUCAGGAAAUGACCUCACUGGGAUAUGACACCUCAUUGGAAGCAAUGGAAACCUGGACCAUCCAUUCUCCACUUUCCCUUCCAUUUCUCCAUUCAGAAAUAUAUCAGUGUCCUUAUUCUCCUGUAAAAGAAUACAAGCUGAAACGCUUUCAGGUGACAGUAUUGCUCAACAUAAAAACUAAAGAGAAAGAAAAGCAGUAUGGCUGGGACAUAAUGGAUGAGAAAAAAUGGAUAUUUAAUGAAUUUAGCCUUUUGUGCUGGCACAAAAUCAUACUGGAAAUUAUAGACCACAGUAAGUGGGUGUCAUCAGACAACAGAUGUAUCAUGUCUACACAAUACGAUGAGUAGAAGUGCCUAAAUCAAUCAUGUAGCAUGAGGAUAUAGCUGAUCCAUGCUGCAUUCCAGAUGUGGACCCUGAUGUGCAGAAACUUAAGUCAAUUGCCCAAGGUCGCAUUGCUGGUAUCUCCAUUUGUUAUGCUUGGAAAGUGAGAAAGCAUUCAACUGGCAAAGGAAGUGAACAAAAACAAGAUCAAGAAUAAACAUGACUUAAUUAAAAUCAUAAUGAGAUAUCAUCUUACCCCAGUCAGAAUGUCUCUUAUUAAAAAAAAAAAUGAAAACAAAAACAGAUGCUGGCGAGGAUGCAGAGAAUGGAGAAAUCUUACACACCGUUGGCUGGAAUGUAAAGCAGUACAACAUUUAUGGAAAACAGCAUGAAGAUUUCUCUAAGAACUAAAAGAACUACCCUUUGAUCCAACAAUCUACUAAUGGGUAUGUACCCAAAGGAAAAUAAAUCGUUGUAUCAAAAAUAUACCUUUACACAUAUGUGUAUUUCAGGCUAUUCACAAUAGAAAAGUAAUGCAAUUAACCUAUGUUUCCAUAAACAAGAGAUUGGAUAAAGAAAAUGUGACACACACACACACACACAUAUAUAUAUAUAUAUACACACACACACACAAUGAAAUACUGUUCAGCCAUAAAACAAUAAAAUCACAUCUUCUACAGCAACAUGAAUGGAACUGGAAGUCAUUAUCUUAAGUGAAACAAAUCAUACACAGAAAGAGAAUUACUGCAAGUUCUUACAUAAGUGGGAACUAAAUAUUGUGUACACGUGAACGUAGAGAGUGGAAUGUCAGGCAAUGGAUGCUUGAAAGGAUGAGGGGGUGGAUGAUGAGAAAUUACGUUAUUUGUACAAUGUAUGUUAUUUGAGUGUUGAAUACCCUAAAGGUUGUGACAUUAUCACUAUGUGUCUAUGCAUUCAACAAAAUUACACUUGUCCCUCAUAA